rnacentral:rRNA from 1 species
UACGAAGGGGGCUAGCGUUGCUCGGAAUCACUGGGCGUAAAGCGCACGUAGGCGGACUCUUAAGUCAGGGGUGAAAUCCUGGAGCUCAACUCCAGAACUGCCUUUGAUACUGGCGAGCUUGAGUUCGGGAGAGGUGAGUGGAACUGCGAGUGUAGAGGUGAAAUUCGUAGAUAUUCGCAAGAACACCAGUGGCGAAGGCGACUACCUGGCCUGUUUCUUGACGCUGAGGCGCGAAAGCUAGGGGAGCAAACGGG